rnacentral:lncRNA from 1 species
GCGGGUAAACCGGCGGUGUAACAGGUGGCUUCGUCGGAGGAGAAACCGGAGGCUUAACCGGAGCUUUGGUAGGAGGGUAAACCGGGGGCUUAACUGGAGGUUUGGCUGGUGGGGAAACUGGUGGCUUGACCGGGGGUUUAGUUGGGGGCUUAACCGGGGCUUUGGUUGGAGGGUAAACUGGUGGCUUGACUGGGGGUUUAGUUGGGGGCUUAACCGGGGCUUUGGUUGGAGGGUAAACUGGUGGCUUGACUGGGGGUUUAGUUGGGGGCUUAACUGGAGCUUUGGUUGGAGGGUAAACUGGUGGCUUAACCGGAGGUUUGGCUGGUGGGGAAACAGGUGGCUUGACCGGGGGUUUAGUUGGGGGUUUCACCGGGGCUUUGGUGGGUGGGUAAACCGGGGGCUUAACCGGAGGUUUGGCUGGUGGAGACACUGGUGCCUUAACCGGGGGUUUAACAGGAGAUUUGGCCGGUGGGUGGGGGUGAGGGUGAGGGUGAGGGUGGUGGUGAUGAGGAGGGUGUGGGUGGUGGUGGCCGUGGUGGUAAGGAGCAGGAG